UACGUAGGGGGCAAGCGUUGUCCGGAAUCAUUGGGCGUAAAGCGCGCGUAGGCGGCCCGGUAAGUCCGCUGUGAAAGUCAAAGGCUCAACCUUUGAAUGUCAGCGGAUACUGCCGGGCUAGAGUCCGGAAGAGGCGAGUGGAAUUCCUGGUGUAGCGGUGAAAUGCGCAGAUAUCAGGAGGAACACCGGUGGCGAAGGCGGGUCUCUGGGCCGAUACUGACGCUGAGGAGCGAAAGCCAGGGGAGCAAACGGGG
rnacentral:rRNA from 1 species